rnacentral:rRNA from 1 species
UACAGAGACCUCAAGCGUUAUCCGGAAUCAUUGGGCGUAAAGCGUACCGAUAGGUGGUUAAGAAAGUCAGAUGUGAAAUCUCCGAGCUCAACUCGGAAUCUGUCAUUUGAAACUUCUUGACUAGAGGGGCAAAGAGGAAGCUGGAACGAACGGUGUAGUAGUGAAAUGCGUUGAUAUCGUUCGGAACACCAAUAGCGUAGGCAGGCUUCUGGGUGCCACCUGACACUGCUAGGACGAGAGCGUGGGUAGCGAAUGGG